UACGUAGGGUGCGAGCGUUGUCCGGAAUUAUUGGGCGUAAAGAGCUCGUAGGCGGUCUGUCGCGUCUGCUGUGAAAACCCGAGGCUCAACCUCGGGCCUGCAGUGGGUACGGGCAGACUAGAGUGCGGUAGGGGAGAAUGGAAUUCCUGGUGUAGCGGUGGAAUGCGCAGAUAUCGGGAAGAACACCCGUGGCGAAGGCGGCACUCUGGGACGGUACUGACGCUGAGACGCGAAAGCGUGGGGAGCGAACAGG
rnacentral:rRNA from 1 species